AUUUGUAGGAGCUGCCGAAGGCUGCGAUCUUUUGAUCUUUGAAAGCAAAGAUCGCAGCCUUCGGCAGCUCCUACACAG
rnacentral:misc_RNA from 1 species